rnacentral:rRNA from 1 species
GAUGACGGCUAGCUACAGGCUUAACACAUGCAAGUCGAGGGAAACGAUGAGAGAGCUUGCUCUCUUAGGCGUCGACCGGCGCACGGGUGAGUAACGCGUAUCCAACCUACCCAUUACAGGGGGAUAACCUUGCGAAAGUAAGACUAAUACCCCAUGGUAUUUUAUGAUGGCAUCAUUAUAGGAUUAAAGAUUUAUUGGUAAUGGAUGGGGAUGCGUCUGAUUAGCUUGUUGGCGGGGUACGGCCCACCAAGGCAACGAUCAGUAGGGGUUCUGAGAGGAAGGUCCCCCACAUUGGAACUGAGACACGGUCAAACUCCUACGGGAGGCAGCAGUGAGGAAUAUUGGACAAUGGGCGAGAGCCUGAACCAGCCAAGUAGCGUGCAGGAUGACGGCCCUAUGGGUUGUAAACUGCUUUUAUAGGGGAAUAAAGUGAGCUACGUGUAGUUUAUUGCAUGUACCCUAUGAAUAAGGACGG